rnacentral:rRNA from 1 species
UACGGAGGGUGCAAGCGUUAUCCGGAUUCACUGGGUUUAAAGGGUGCGUAGGUGGGUUGGUAAGUCCGUGGUGAAAUCUCCGGGCUUAACUCGGAAACUGCCAUUGAUACUAUCAGUCUUGAAUACCGUGGAGGUCAGUAGAAUAUGUCAUGUAGCGGUGAAAUGCUUAGAUAUGACAUAGAAUACCAAUUGCGAAGGCAGCUGGCUACACGAAUAUUGACACUCAGGCACGAAAGCGUGGGGAUCAAACAGG